GCUUCUGUGGCCUAGUGGUUAGAGAGUCCUCCUUGGAUGCGGAAGGUCGUGGGUUCAAUCCCCGGUCGAAUCA